AUUGAACGCUGGCGGCAUGCCUUACACAUGCAAGUCGAACGGUAACAGGUCUUCGGAUGCUGACGAGUGGCGAACGGGUGAGUAAUACAUCGGAACGUGCCUAGUAGUGGGGGAUAACUACUCGAAAGAGUGGCUAAUACCGCAUGAGAUCUACGGAUGAAAGCAGGGGAUCGCAAGACCUUGUGCUACUAGAGCGGCCGAUGGCAGAUUAGGUAGUUGGUGGGAUAAAAGCUUACCAAGCCGACGAUCUGUAACUGGUCUGAGAGGACGAUCAGCCACACUGGGACUGAGACACGGCCCAGACUCCUACGGGAGGCAGCAGUGGGGAGUUUUGGACAAUGGGCGCAAGCCUGAUCCAGCAAUGCCGCGUGCAGGAUGAAGGCCUUCGGGUUGUAAACUGCUUUUGUACGGAACGAAAAGCCCUGGGUUAAUACCCUGGGGUCAUGACGGUACCGUAAGAAUAAGCACCGGCUAACUACGUGCCAGCAGCCGCCGUAAAAC
rnacentral:rRNA from 1 species